AUUGCCCCAGUAACGGCGAGUGAAGCGGCAAAAGCUCAAAUUUGAAAUCUGGCCUCCUACGGGGGUCCGAGUUGUAAUUUGUAGAGGAUGCUUCGGGUGUGGCCGCCGUCUAAGUUCCUUGGAACAGGACGUCAGAGAGGGUGAGAAUCCCGUCUUGGGCGGCCGGUCCGCGCCCGUGUGAAGCUCCUUCGACGAGUCGAGUUGUUUGGGAAUGCAGCUCUAAGCGGGUGGUAAAUUUCAUCUAAAGCUAAAUACUGGUCGGAGACCGAUAGCGCACAAGUAGAGUGAUCGAAAGGUUAAAAGCACCUUGAAAAGGGAGUUAAACAGCACGUGAAAUUGUUGAAAGGGAAGCGCUUGCGGCCAGACUCGGGGGCGGGGUUCAGCGGGCGCUCGUCGCCCGUGCACUCCCCGUCUCCCGGGCCAGCAUCAGUUUCGACGGCCGGUCAAAGGCCUCCGGAAUGUGUCGUCUCUCGGGACGUCUUAUAGCCGGGGGUGCAAUGCGGCCCGUCGGGACUGAGGAACGCGCUUCGGCUCGGAUGCUGGCGUAAUGGCCGUAAGCGGCCCGUCUUGAAACACGGACCAAGGAGUCUAACAUCCACGCGAGUGUUCGGGUGUCAAACCCGUGCGCGCAGUGAAAGCGAACGGAGGUGGGAGCCUUAGGGCGCACCAUCGACCGAUCCUGAAGUCUUCGGAUGGAUUUGAGUAGGAGCGUGGCCGUUGGGACCCGAAAGAUGGUGAACUAUGCCUGAAUAGGGUGAAGCCAGAGGAAACUCUGGUGGAGGCUCGCAGCGGUUCUGACGUGCAAAUCGAUCGUCAAAUUUGGGCAUAGGGGCGAAAGACUAAUCGAACCAUCU
rnacentral:rRNA from 1 species